AAUCGAACCUUUCGUUUAAAAACUAAACAAACAGCCGUUAGUGUUUCUUGAUAUGCGGUAACAGUGACAAGGACUUGACUUAUCUAUGAUGAUUGACGAUAAGUGAGAAAGGAAAGGAGUCGUUUACUGUGAUAUUAUGCUUGCUGGAUUAACUGACUCUAUCAGUCCUCUAUCACUCAAGGAUGUAGACUGCCUUAUUCACCUGGAAAUAGAGGAAAAGCAUUAUUGUUUAAGGAAGGAUUUGUGACAAUAAAUUGGUAUUUAUGAAGACGUUUAUUUAAGUGGAAAACAGUCUAACAGUCUAAAUCAUUCCUUGUUGGAUCAACACUGUUACAAGUAGCUGUGCUUCGUGGUUGUUACUGCAUGGAUAAAGUAGAAAAUGAAGGAGAAAGGAAAUACCUUUUUUCAUAAAAAUCAUUUUGGAAUAACUGAGAAAAAUCUGCCUUGUUUGAGUGCAAAAUUGCUGUAUUUCAAAUGGUUACUAAUAAGUGUAU